ensembl:snRNA U7 U7 small nuclear RNA
UAGUGUUACAACUCUUCUAGAAUUUGUCUAGCAGGCUUUCUGGUUUUCGCCAGAAAGCCCCC